UACGAGGGGUGCAAGCGUUGCUCGGAAUUAUUGGGCGUAAAGGGUAGGUAGGUGGUCUUAUUUGUCUGGGGUGAAAGCCUUGGGCUUAACCCAAGAAGUGCCCCAGAAACGGUAAGACUAGAGUCCUGGAGAGGGUCGUGGAAUUCCCGGUGUAGCGGUGAAAUGCGUAGAGAUCGGGAGGAACACCAGAGGCGAAGGCGGCGACCUGGACAGGCACUGACACUCAACUACGAAAGCGUGGGGAGCAAACAGG
rnacentral:rRNA from 1 species